rnacentral:piRNA from 1 species
UUCNCUCUGCCCUGAAGGGGAAGGAUGGC